rnacentral:tRNA from 1 species
GCCUGGGUGGCUCAGUUGGUUGAGCAUCUGACUUCAGCUCAGGUCAUGAUCUCGCAGUUUGUGAGUUCGAGCCCCGCAUCAGGCU